rnacentral:rRNA from 2 species
UACGUAGGGUGCGAGCGUUAAUCGGAAUUACUGGGCGUAAAGCGUGCGCAGGCGGUUCGUUGUGUCCGAUGUGAAAGCCCCGAGCUCAACUUGGGAAUGGCAUUGGAAACUGGCGGGCUGGAGUGUGGCAGAGGGGGGUGGAAUUCCACGUGUAGCAGUGAAAUGCGUAGAGAUGUGGAGGAACACCGAUGGCGAAGGCAGCCCCCUGGGCCAACACUGACGCUCAGGCACGAAAGCGUGGGGAGCAAACAGG